CUGGUAUUUCCAAGCACCCAUGUAUUUUUCUGUUUAUUAUAUAAAGGACAGUCUUUGAAAAGUGAUAAUUUUUACAGAAAAGCGAUAAUUGAAAAGCGAUAAUUUUCACAUCUGAGAUUAUCAUAAAUUAUCUCACAUGUGAGAUUAUCAGUUUUAUCACUGCUCGAAAUCUCUAUAAAGCACUAUACUUUAUAUAAUAAA